UACAGAGGAUGCAAGCGUUAUCCGGAAUGAUUGGGCGUAAAGCGUCUGUAGGUGGCUUUUUAAGUCUGCUGUGAAAUCCCCGAGCUCAACUUGGGAAUUGCAGUGGAUACUGGCAAGCUGGAGUACGGUAGAGGAAGGUGGAAUUCCCGGUGUAGCAGUGAAAUGCGUAGAGAUCGGGAGGAACACCAGUGGCGAAGGCGGCCUUCUGGACCAGUACUGACGCUCAUGCACGAAAGCGUGGGGAGCAAACAGG
rnacentral:rRNA from 1 species